CCUACGGGUGGCAGCAGUGAGGAAUAUUGGUCAAUGGACGAGAGUCUGAACCAGCCAAGUAGCGUGAAGGAUGACUGCCCUAUGGGUUGUAAACUUCUUUUAUAAAGGAAUAAAACGAGGCACGUGUGCCUUUUCGCAUGUACCUUCUGAAAAAGCAUCGGCUAACUCCGUGCCAGCAGCCGCGGUAAUACGGAGGAACCGAGCGUUAUCCUGAUUUAUUGGGUUUAAAGGGAGCGUAGAUUGGUUGUGAAGUCAGUGGUGAAAGUUUGCGGCUGAACCGUAAAAUUGCAAUUAAGACUGGCAGUCUUGAGUACAGUUGAGGUAAGCGGAAUGCGUGGUGUAGCGGUGAAAUGCUUAGAU
rnacentral:rRNA from 1 species